rnacentral:rRNA from 1 species
GGGGCUUCGGAGUUCACUCCCAACCCAAUGUGAACGUUACCAAACUGUUGCCUCGGCGGGAUCUCUGCCCCGGGUGCGUCGCAGCCCCGGACCAAGGCGCCCGCCGGAGGACCAACCAAAACUCUUAUUGUAUACCCCCUCGCGGGUUUUUUUAUAAUCUGAGCCUUCUCGGCGCCUCUCGUAGGCGUUUCGAAAAUGAAUCAAAACUUUCAACAACGGAUCUCUUGGUUCUGGCAUCGAUGAAGAACGCAGCGAAAUGCGAUAAGUAAUGUGAAUUGCAGAAUUCAGUGAAUCAUCGAAUCUUUGAACGCACAUUGCGCCCGCCAGUAUUCUGGCGGGCAUGCCUGUCCGAGCGUCAUUUCAACCCUCGAACCCCUCCGGGGGGUCGGCGUUGGGGAUCGGCCCUGCCUUGGCGGUGGCCGUCUCCGAAAUACAGUGGCGGUCUCGCCGCAGCCUCUCCUGCGCAGUAGUUUGCACACUCGCAUCGGGAGCGCGGCGCGUCCACAGCCGUUAAACACCCAACUUCUGAAAUGUUGACCUCGGAUCAGGUAGGAAUACCCGCUGAACUUAAGCAUAUCAAAAGCCGGGAGGAA